rnacentral:rRNA from 1 species
UACGGGGGGGGCAAGCGUUGUUCGGAAUUACUGGGCGUAAAGGGCUCGUAGGCGGCCAACUAAGUCGGACGUGAAAUCCCCAGGCUCAACCUGGGAACUGCGUCUGAUACUGGAUGGCUUGAAUCCGGGAGAGGGAUGCAGAAUUCCAGGUGUAGCGGUGAAAUGCGUAGAUAUCUGGAGGAAUACCGGUGGCGAAGGCGGCAUCCUGGACCGGCAUUGACGCUGAGGCGCGAAAGCGUGGGGAGCAAACAGG